UGGGGAAUAUUGCACAAUGGGCGAAAGCCUGAUGCAGCAACGCCGCGUGAGUGAUGAAGGCCUUCGGGUUGUAAAGCUCUGUCUUUUUGGGACGAUAAUGACGGUACCAAAGGAGGAAGCCACGGCUAACUACGUGCCAGCAGCCGCGGUAAUACGUAGGUGGCAAGCGUUGUCCGGAUUUACUGGGCGUAAAGGAUGCGUAGGCGGAUUUUUAAGUGAGACGUGAAAUACCCGGGCUUAACUUGGGUGCUGCAUUUUCAAACUGGGAAUCUAGAGUGCGGGAGAGGAGAAUGGAAUUCCUAGUGUAGCGGUGAAAUGCGUAGAGAUUAGGAAGAACACCAGUGGCGAAAGGCGAUUCUCUGGACCGUAACUGACGCUGAGGCAUGAAAGCGUGGGUAGCAAACAGGAUUAGAUACCCUGGUAGUCCACG
rnacentral:rRNA from 1 species